ACAAAAGUUAGCACGAAUAUCGAUUUUUCGGCUCGGACUUUGCGCUAGUCACAUGAGGUACGUACUGCAAGAUAUAAGCGAUUUACGGUUUCGUUAUGAUGAGAACGAUCGUUGGAAAAUCACGUCGGUAGUUGUUAUAACAAUAAGUAUCACUCGUCUUCAAAACUGAAGGGACAAAUACAAAAGUCACAAUGUGAACAAGGAAAGGUAUGACUGGCAAGGUGAGGAUCGCUAAGUCCCUAUAAGAACGAAAGAGAGUUGAAUUUUGGUCGGUACGUUGAGAGGAGAGAAUCGUAAAGUAGCCCAUAUACUACAAGACGAAUAAAUUAUAUGAUUUCUUCACAGACUCCUACUAUAAGUUUUACAAUUUCUAGUUAUGAUUUGUGCGUUAUCCCGUAUGUAAUAUUACUAUAUUACUAAUUUAUUUAUAUACCUAAUUGUAAUUAAAACAUUUUAAAUAAGGCUUACAUAUUAAAAAAAAACUAAGACGAUUUUGUUCAAAACUACUUGAUAUUAAGUACUAAUG